GCCGGAGUGGCGGAAUUGGUAGACGCAGUUGAUUCAAAAUCAACCGCCUUCGGGUGUGCCGGUUCGAGUCCGCCUUCGGCACCA
rnacentral:tRNA from 3 species